UACAGAGGUCCCGAGCGUUGUUCGGAUUCACUGGGCGUAAAGGGUGCGUAGGUGGCAUGAUAAGUUUGAUGUGAAAUCUCCGGGCUCAACCCGGAAAAUGCAUUGAAUACUAUCAGGCUGGAGGUUUGGAGGGGGGGACUGGAAUUCUCGGUGUAGCAGUGAAAUGCGUAGAUAUCGAGAGGAACACCAGUGGCGAAGGCGAGUCCCUGGACAACACCUGACACUGAGGCACGAAAGCUAGGGGAGCAAACAGG
rnacentral:rRNA from 1 species